GGAGUACUCCCUCUGUCCUAAAAUUCUUGUCUUAAAUUUUUCUAGAUAUGAAUGUAUCUAGUCAUAGAUUAAUAUUUAGAUACAUUCAUUUUUAGUCAAACCUAAGACAAGAAUUUUAGAAUGAAGGAAGUAUAUA
rfam:Hordeum vulgare subsp. vulgare, WGS project CAJW01000000 data, contig: morex_contig_1575372